ensembl:snoRNA
AGCUCUCUUGUUUCUGUUUUUGCUUACCUAUGGGUAAAGACGUAUGGACGUGUGCAGAAGAUACAUCCUAUCUUGCAACCCAGAACUUGCUGUUUGGUGAAUUUUGAUACAUAUAAGAAGGAAUAUU